rnacentral:rRNA from 1 species
UACGGAGGGGGCUAGCGUUGUUCGGAAUUACUGGGCGUAAAGCGCACGUAGGCGGCUUUGUAAGUUAGAGGUGAAAGCCCAGGGCUCAACCCUGGAAUUGCCUUUAAGACUGCAUCGCUUGAACAUCGGAGAGGUAAGUGGAAUUCCGAGUGUAGAGGUGAAAUUCGUAGAUAUUCGGAAGAACACCAGUGGCGAAGGCGACUUACUGGACGAUUGUUGACGCUGAGGUGCGAAAGCGUGGGGAGCAAAAGGG